rnacentral:rRNA from 1 species
CCUACGGGAGGCAGCAGUGAGGAAUAUUGGUCAAUGGGCGCGAGCCUGAACCAGCCAAGUCGCGUGAAGGAUGACUGCCCUACGGGUUGUAAACUUCUUUUGUAAAGGAAUAAAGUCAGGCACGUGUGCCUUUUUGUAUGUACUUUAUGAAUAAGGAUCGGCUAACUCCGUGCCAGCAGCCGCGGUAAUACGGAGGAUCCGAGCGUUAUCCGGAUUUAUUGGGUUUAAAGGGGGCGUAGGUGGGUUUUUAAGUCAGUUGUGAAAGGUUGGGGCUCAACCGUAAAAUUGCAUGUGAUACUGGCAGUCUUGAGUACAGGUGAGGUAAGCGGAAUUCGUGGUGUAGCGGUGAAAUGCUUAGAUAUCACGAAGAACCCCGAUUGCGAAGGCAGCUUACUAAACUGUGACUGACAUUGAGGCUCGAAAGUGUGGGUAUCAAACAGGAUUAGAUACCCCAGUAGUC